UGAGGGGUAAAGAUAAGUACAAUGCGAGGUCUCUUCUCGACACAAUCGAAGUUAGGGCCAGUAGGCCUCCUUCUCUCUUGCUGUUAUUGCAGCUGAGUACGAAAAUGGGAGAUGUGCUGUUGUUGGACUGCAACAAGUCCUUCAGCCGUCUGGGCGUGCUCAAGUGCCUUUGGAUAGGUGCUGGGCUUCAGGAUCGUGAUACGAUCGUAAAUGUCUACUCUGAUGCCUCUCAUAAACUUUUGAGACUUCUACCUCUCCAUGGCCACCAUCAUGGGAGCAAAUUGAGAUAAAUGAACAAACUUGGCAGCAUACUAGUUGACAAUCAGAUUUUCUUAACGCAGGUCUUAGAACUCUUCUUCCUUCUUCUCCUGAACAUAUACUAGAAAAAAUAUCUCUAGAAAAGCGGUCAUAAAGUGGGUCCAAGUGAUAGGGGUUGGCAAGAUGUCCUUCUUCAGUUGCCACCAAUGUUGGGCUUCACUUGUGAACAUGAAGGCGGCGAGAGGGAUGUUUUGUUCUUCAGAGAGGUCCAAGACAAGGAAGAGUUUCUGAAUAUGCAGAAUCUAAAUUUUUGUAGCCAAAGGAUCUUGUCCACCAUCGAAAUAAGGAGGGUUUAACCUCUGGAACUUGAAAAUGUUAUGAGAAAUAGUCUUAUCUAUGGGACAAAAGUUAUGGGCAACAGGGAUCUGGUCACUUUAGGCCUGAUUGUGACCUACUGUGGCGGUCAGGCUUUGAAUAGCUUGAAAGAGUUCUGUAAACUCAACCGUAGUUGGAGCGUCUUGGGCCUCAGUACGAUCUACAAAUGGCCUCCCACGAGUUAUUCUAUCUACACACAAGAAACAACAAGUGGUUUGUAAGAAUGUUGUUUCUAACUCUAAGAAUU
rnacentral:lncRNA from 1 species